rnacentral:rRNA from 1 species
UACGGGGGGGGCAAGCGUUGUUCGGAAUUACUGGGCGUAAAGGCUCGUAGGCGGCCAACUAAGUCGGAUGUGAAAUCCCCAGGCUUAACCUGGGAACUGCAUCCGAUACUGGAUGGCUUGAAUUCGGGAGAGGGAUGCAGAAUUCCAGGUGUAGCGGUGAAAUGCGUAGAUAUCUGGAGGAAUACCGGUGGCGAAGGCGGCAUCCUGGACCGACAUUGACGCUGAAAGCCGAAAGCUAGGGGAGCAAACGGG